GGGCGGUUAGCUCAGCUGGCUAGAGCGUCACAUUGACAUUGUGAAGGUCAGUGGUUCAAGUCCACUACCGCCCACCA
rnacentral:tRNA from 1 species